UAAAAUUUUAGGAAAAAAAACCCCUAUUAAAAUUAAGAGGAAAACCGACUGACUUUCUUCCGUCCUUCGAUUUCUUCACUCUGCAAACCUCAAACCUCAAACCUCAAACCUCAAUCUUCAAUACUCUCAAUAGACGGUGAAACUAGCCUAACAAAGUUCUUCACACGACGGCGAUGUACGGUGGUUGUGAUUUUCUUCAGGGGGCGGCGUUUCCUUUGCCAGGCGGUUCUUCUCACGGCCAAAUCGAAUUUCAAGAUCAAUGACUUCGUCACAGCAGCAUAACACUGAAUUUGUUUCCCUCCCAAAGAAAGGAAAAGAAGAAAAAGGUUGUGGAGCCAUUAGAAUGAGUAAAGGUGUUCGAGCAAGGAAUAAGGGGCUCAAAUUUCAAGUUAAUUGGAAUAAGUGAAACGGAGCUUGCCACAAAGUUGAAAAUGAACACAAAAUGGCUAAAAAUACUAUGUCCUUGCCAAGAAUAUUACAUAGAUUGUGGAUAUUAUGUGAUGAGAUUCAUGAAGGAGAUAAUCUCACACAAGCGACUUCAAAUUCCCGAAGUUUACUUUUCAGAUUGUCAGUUUCCAAGUUAUGACAAAGAGCAGAUUGGAGAAGUAAGAACCGAACGGGUGCCCCAUGUUGUUCAACAAUUGUAUAAUUGCUAGGUUUUGUUGAAGGAACCAACAAACCUAAGCCUCUACUGAUUAAUGUAUUUUACGUAGUUUUAUGUUUAGAGUUUUAGUUUAGAUCUAUGUAAUUGGUUUUAUUAGGGUGACAAUUGCAAAAAUUCUUUUAAUUGAGGUUUGGAAAUUAAUUUUGAACUAUUUACUAUUCUUCAAUAUAUGGUGUUAUUUAU